AUUGAACGCUGGCGGCAUGCCUUACACAUGCCAGUCGAACGGCAGCACGGGUGCUUGCACCUGGUGGCGAGUGGCGAACGGGUGAGUAAUACAUCGGAACAUGUCCUGUAGUGGGGGAUAGCCCGGCGAAAACCGGAUUAAUACCGCAUACGAUCUACGGAUGAAAGCGGGGGACCUUCGGGCCUCGCGCUAUAGGGUUGGCCGAUGGCUGAUUAGCUAGUUGGUGGGGUAAAGGCCUACCAAGGCGACGAUCAGUAGCUGGUCUGAGAGGACGACCAGCCACACUGGGACUGAGACACGGCCCAGACUCCUACGGGAGGCAGCAGUGGGGAAUUUUGGACAAUGGGCGAAAGCCUGAUCCAGCAAUGCCGCGUGUGUGAAGAAGGCCUUCGGGUUGUAAAGCACUUUUGUCCGGAAAGAAAUCCUUGGCCCUAAUACGGUCGGGGGAUGACGGUACCGGAAGAAUAAGCACCGGCUAACUACGUG
rnacentral:rRNA from 1 species